rnacentral:rRNA from 1 species
UACAGAGGGGGCAAGCGUUGUUCGGAAUUACUGGGCGUAAAGGGCGCGUAGGCGGCCUUCUAAGUCGAACGUGAAAUCCCCGGGCUCAACCCGGGAACUGCGUCCGAUACUGGAUGGCUUGAAUCCGGGAGAGGGAUGCAGAAUUCCAGGUGUAGCGGUGAAAUGCGUAGAUAUCUGGAGGAAUACCGGUGGCGAAGGCGGCAUCCUGGACCGGCAUUGACGCUGAUGAGCGAAAGCCAGGGGAGCAAACGGG